rnacentral:rRNA from 1 species
GGAGGAAGGUGGGGACGACGUCAAGUCAUCAUGGCCCUUACGAGUAGGGCUACACACGUGCUACAAUGGGCAUUACAGAGGGUUGCGAAGCCGCGAGGUGGAGCUAAUCUCAGAAAGGUGCUCGUAGUCCGGAUUGGAGUCUGCAACUCGACUCCAUGAAGUCGGAAUCGCUAGUAAUCGCGGAUCAGAAUGCCGCGGUGAAUACGUUCCCGGGCCUUGUACACACCGCCCGU